GUCUCGUUGGUUAAGUUGGUUAUGUUGCCAACUUAAACCUAUUAAAUAGGGGGCGGAGGUUCGAAUCCUUCAUGGAAUA